rnacentral:rRNA from 1 species
GUGCCAGCAGCCGCGGUAAUACGUAGGCAGCGAGCGUUGUUCGGAGUUACUGGGCGUAAAGCGUGCGUAGGCGGUGUCCUAAGUCUGGUGUGAAAUCUCCCGGCUCAACUGGGAGGGUGCGCUAGAAACUGGGAUGCUGGAGUGUGGGAGAGGUAAGCGGAAUUCCUGGUGUAGCGGUGAAAUGCGUAGAUAUCAGGAGGAACACCUGCGGUGUAGACGGCUUACUGGACCACUACUGACGCUGAGGCACGAAAGCGUGGGGAGCAAACAGGAUUAGAAACCCGUGUAGUCC